GCCUAACACAUGCAAGUCGAGCGGCAGCACAAGUAAGUUUACUUAUGAGUGUGGCGAGCGGCGGACGGGUGAGUAAUGCCUAGGGAUCUAGCCCAGUCGAGGGGGAUAACAGUUGGAAACGACUGCUAAUACCGCAUACGCCCUACGGGGGAAAGGAGGGGACCUUCGGGCCUUCCGCGAUUGGAUGAACCUAGUGGGAUUAGCUAGUUAGGUAGAGGUAAUAGGCUCACCAAGGCGACGAUCCCUAGCUGUUCUGAGAGGAUGAUCAGCCACACUGGGACUAGAGACACGGCCCAGACUCCUACGGGAGGCAGCAGUGGGGAAUAUUUGCACAAUGGGGGGAAACCCUGAUGCAGCCAU
rnacentral:rRNA from 1 species